GUCUGGUGUGAAAUCUCACGGCUCAACCGGGAGGCUGCACCAGAUACUGCGAAGCUCGAGGACGGGAGAGGACAUUGGAAUUCCCGGUGUAGCGGUGAAAUGCAUUGAUAUCGGGAGGAACACCAGUGGCGAAGGCGGAUCUCUGGCCCGUUGCUGACGCUGAGGUGCGAAAGCUGGGGGAGCGAAAGGGAUUAGAUACCCCUGUAGUCCCAGCCCUAAACGAUGGGCGCUAGGUGUUGGGGGAUUAACCCUCGGCGCCGUAGCUAACGCAUUAAGCGCCCCGCCUGGGGAGUACGGCCGCAAGGUUGAAACUCAAAGGAAUUGACGGGGGCCCGCACAAGCGGUGGAGCAUGUGGAUUAAUUCGAUACAAACCGAAGAACCUUACCUGAGUUCAAGAUACGAUGAAGCGCCGGAAUCGGGUGGCCGGGCAACCGAGUCGUAUCAGGUGCUGCAUGGCUGUCGUCAGCUCGUGUCGUGAGAUGUCGGGUUAAGUCCCUUAACGAGCGCAACCCCUGCCCGCAGUUGCCCUUCAUGGGAACUCUGCGGGGACCGCUCCCGCAAGGGAGAGGAAGGAGGGGAUGACGUCAAGUCAUCAUGGCCCUUACGUCCAGGGCGACACACGUGCUACAAUGGGGGGGACAACGGGUAGCAACCGGGCGACCGGAAGCCAAUCCCCAAACCCCCCCUCAGUUCAGAUUGGAGUCUGCAACUCGACUC
rnacentral:rRNA from 1 species